GGAGAUAUAGCUUACUUGGUAGAGUGCUUGCCUUGCAUGCACAAGGCCCUGGGUUCAAACCCCAGCACCA
rfam:Ictidomys tridecemlineatus contig034719, whole genome shotgun sequence.